GGGGGGCUUAGCGGUUAGCACUCUUGCCUCGCACCUACGGGGUUGGGGGUUCGAAUCCCACCUCCA